GGGUACAACACAACCCUUGGCCACUGUGUUGACAUGCUCUGCACCUUGCUCCUGCCCUCGCCUUUCACUCUUAUUAUCCCCCCGAUACCCCGAUCAUUCCUGACAGCUCGGGAGUGCCUGGAUUUCAUCAUCCAGCCCUGCAGGAUGCUCCCCUUUGUUCUGAGGAAGGCUGUCCCAGACAGAGAGGAGGACAUGGAGGUAGAUACCAAGAUUGAUAUGGAGGAGGAGAUGGAAAUAGAUGGAGAAGACCCUGGAGAGGGAAAGAUGGAUGUGGAUGUGGAUGAGGAAGAAGAGAUGGACGUGGAUGUGACUAAGGAGGAAGAGAUGGAUGUGGAUAUGGAAGAGUAGAUUGAGGACAUGGAUAUUGAUUAAGAAGGUGCGAUGGACAUCACCGACAGAGACACCACCCUUGUGUAUAUAUGUUCUACAGUUUGUUGUUGUUCUUUAGAAUAUAGAUUUUAGGGCUAUUUUUGACUUCUGUAAAUACAUUUCCCAUAGUUUUGCUAGGUAGGUUUUUAUGUAUAUAUGUUCUAUCGAUUGUUGUUGUUACAAAUAUUCUUACAAUGUAAAUGUAUUCUGCAUUUUUGCUGCUGUUUUUCUGUAAUAAACAAAUUUUACUUUUCACAUCCCAGUUCUCCUUGCAUGUGCUUCAGGCACAGGCAGCAUUU